rnacentral:rRNA from 1 species
UCUCCUGAAGGAACGUUGAAGACGACAACGUUGAUAGGCCGGGUGUGUAAGCGCAGCGAUGCGUUGAGCUAACCGGUACUAAUGAACCGUGAGGCUUAACCUUACAACGCCGAAG